CUGCGAGUUCGCGGGAGAGUAAGUUAUUGCCAGGGUUUUUAUUUUAUACUUUAAACAUUGAUUUUAUUUUUUAUGUUUUUAGAUGUUCAUGUUAUUGAAUGUUUUAUUUAAAUAAUAUAAAAAAUAAAAUAUAUAUUGACAUGGAUUAAACAAAGAUAUAUAUUAUUCUAUGUUGCAUAAGCAAAUUGGCAAAAUAGAGAUGGAAGAUAAAAAUAUGGUCAAAGUAAUAAGAGUCUAUGGUGAAUGCCUAGGA
rnacentral:misc_RNA from 1 species